rnacentral:rRNA from 1 species
AUUGAACGCUGGCGGCAGGCCUAACACAUGCAAGUCGAGCGGUUGAGGGGAGCUUGCUCCCUGAUUCAGCGGCGGACGGGUGAGUAAUGCCUAGGAAUCUGCCUAUUAGUGGGGGACAACGUUUCGAAAGGAACGCUAAUACCGCAUACGUCCUACGGGAGAAAGCAGGGGACCUUCGGGCCUUGCGCUAAUAGAUGAGCCUAGGUCGGAUUAGCUUGUUGGUGAGGUAAUGGCUCACCAAGGCGACGAUCCGUAACUGGUCUGAGAGGAUGAUCGGUCACACUGGAACUGAGACACGGUCCAGACUCCUACGGGAGGCAGCAGUGGGGAAUAUUGGACAAUGGGCGAAAGCCUGAUCCAGCCAUGCCGCGUGUGUGAAGAAGGCCUUCGGAUUGUAAAGCACUUUAAGUUGGGAGGAAGGGUUGUAGAUUAAUACUCUGCAAUUUUGACGUUACCGACAGAAUAAGCACCGGCUAACUCUGUGCCAGCCGCCGCCGUAACAC